rnacentral:rRNA from 1 species
CGGGGUGCACCAGGCGCGAAAACUUUACAAUGCUGGAAACAGCGAUAAGGGGACCUCGAGUGCCAGGUUACAAAUCUGGCUGUCGUGAUGCCUAAAAAGCAUUGCAUAGCAAGGGCCGGGCAAGACCGGUGCCAGCCGCCGCGGUAACACCGGCGGCUCGAGUGGUAACCGUUAUUAUUGGGUCUAAAGGGUCUGUAGCCGGCCGGAUAAGUCUCUUGAGAAAUCCAGCAGUUCAACUGUUGGGCUUUCAGGAGAUACUGUCUGGCUCGAGGCCGGGAGGGGUGAGAGGUACUUCAGGGGUAGGGGUGAAAUCUUGUAAUCCUUGAAGGACCACCAGUGGCGAAGGCGUCUCACCAGAACGGACCUGACGGCAAGGGACGAAAGCUAGGGGCACGAACCGGAUUAGAUACCCGGGUAGUCCUAGCCGUAAACGAUACUCGCUAGGUGUCGGCCACGGUGCGACCGUUGUCGGUGCCGUAGGGAAGCCGUGAAGCGAGCCACCUGGGAAGUACGGCCGCAAGGCUGAAACUUAAAGGAAUUGGCGGGGGAGCACAAGGGCGAUCGCG